rnacentral:rRNA from 1 species
GUUUGAUCCUGGCUCAGAUUGAACGCUGGCGGUAUGCCUAACACAUGCAAGUCGAACGAGGUAGCAAUACCUAGUGGCGGACGGGUGAGGAAUACGUAGGGAUCUGCCUUUAAGUGGGGGAUAACCCGGGGAAACCCGGAUUAAUACCGCAUGAUCUCGCAAGAGCAAAGUGGGGGAUCGCAAGACCUCACGCUUUUAGAGGAACCUACGUCGGAUUAGCUUGUUGGUGAGGUAAU